rnacentral:rRNA from 1 species
UAAGUAGGUAGUGAAAUCGUGUGGCUCAACCAUACUCACAUUAUCUAAACUGCUAAGCUAGAGUAUAUGAGAGGUAGUUGGAAUUCCUUGUGUAGGAGUGGAAUCCGUAGAUAUAAGGAGGAACACCGAUGGCGUAGGCAGACUACUGGCAUAUUACUGACACUAAGGCACGAGAGCGGUGGGGAGCGAACAGGAUUAGACUACCCUGGUAGUCCACGCCGUAAACUAUGGAUGCUA